UAAAGGUCAUCGCGGUGCAACUGGAUGUGUUUUCCUGCUAAUGCUGUUGUACCUUGAUUGUGUUUGUCUGAGCUCGACUACGACGCGGUCCACACCUCGGCUUCAUGAUUGGGGUGAUACCCAAAUACGGGAGACGCUGCGACGUAUCAGAAGGAAGCAAAAUUUCCCAACAAUUGCGGUGGAGUUUGAUUACAGUAACGCCGAU